AUUGAACGCUGGCGGCAGGCCUAACACAUGCAAGUCGAGCGGAUGAAGGGAGCUUGCUCCUGGAUUCAGCGGCGGACGGGUGAGUAAUGCCUAGGAAUCUGCCUGGUAGUGGGGGAUUACGUCCGGAAACGGGCGCUAAUACCGCAUACGUCCUGAGGGAGAAAGUGGGGGAUCUUCGUACCUCACGCUAUCAGAUGAGCCUAGGUCGGAUUAGCUAGUUGGUGGGGUAAAGGCCUACCAAGGCGACGAUCCGUAACUGGUCUGAGAGGAUGAUCAGUCACACUGGAACGGAGACACGGUCCAGACUCCUACGGGAGGCAGCAGUGGGGAAUAUUGGACAAUGGGCGAAAGCCUGAUCCAGCCAUGCCGCGUGUGUGAAGAAGGUCUUCGGAUUGUAAAGCACUUUAAGUUGGGAGGAAGGGCAGUAAGUUAAUACCUUGCUGUUUUGACGUUACCAACAGAAGAAGCACCGGCUAACUUCGUG
rnacentral:rRNA from 1 species